rnacentral:rRNA from 1 species
UCCUACGGGAGGCAGCAGUGGGGAAUCUUAGACAAUGGGCGCAAGCCUGAUCUAGCCAUGCCGCGUGAGUGAUGAAGGCCUUAGGGUCGUAAAGCUCUUUCGCCAGGGAUGAUAAUGACAGUACCUGGUAAAGAAACCCCGGCUAACUCCGUGCCAGCAGCCGCGGUAAUACGGAGGGGGUUAGCGUUGUUCGGAAUUACUGGGCGUAAAGCGCACGUAGGCGGAUUAGUAAGUCAGAGGUGAAAUCCCGGGGCUCAACCCCGGAACUGCCUUUGAUACUGCUAGUCUUGAGUUCGAGAGAGGUGAGUGGAAUUCCGAGUGUAGAGGUGAAAUUCGUAGAUAUUCGGAGGAACACCAGUGGCGAAGGCGGCUCACUGGCUCGAUACUGACGCUGAGGUGCGAAAGUGUGGGGAGCAAACAGGAUUAGAUACCCUGGUAGUCCACACCGUAAACGAUGAAUGCCAGUCGUCGGCAAGCAUGCUUGUCGGUGACACACCUAACGGAUUAAGCAUUCCGCCUGGGGAGUACGGUCGCAAGAUUAAAACUCAAAUGAAUUGACGG